UACAGGGGGUGCAAACGUUGCUCGGAAUCAUUGGGCGUAAAGCGCACGUAGGCGGUCUGUUAUGUCGGAUGUGAAAGCCCUUGGCUCAACUGAGGAAGUGCAUCCGAAACUGGCAGGCUAGAGUACUAAAGAGGAUCGCGGAAUUCCCGGUGUAGAGGUGAAAUUCGUAGAUAUCGGGAGGAACACCGGUGGCGAAGGCGGCGAUCUGGGUAGAUACUGACGCUGAGGUGCGAAAAGCGUGGGGAGCAAACAGG
rnacentral:rRNA from 1 species